GAAUGCUGACAUAAGUAACGAUAAAGCGGGUGAAAAGCCCGCUCGCCGGAAGACCAAGGGUUCCUGUCCAACGUUAAUCGGGGCAGGGUGAGUCGACCCCUAAGGCGAGGCCGAAAGGCGUAGUCGAUGGGAAACGGGUUAAUAUUCCCGUACUUGGUGUUACUGCGAAGGGGGGACGGAGAAGGCUAUGUUGGCCGGGCGACGGUUGUCCCGGUUUAAGCGUGUAGGCUGGUUUUCCAGGCAAAUCCGGAAAAUCAAGGCUGAGGCGUGACGACGAGGCACUACGGUGCUGAAGCAACAAAUGCCCUGCUUCCAGGAAAAGCCUCUAAGCAUCAGGUAACAUCAAAUCGUACCCCAAACCGACACAGGUGGUCAGGUAGAGAAUACCAAGGCGCUUGAGAGAACUCGGGUGAAGGAACUAGGCAAAAUGGUGCCGUAACUUCGGGAGAAGGCACGCUGACACGUAGGUGAAGUGAUUUACUCAUGGAGCUGAAGUCAGUCGAAGAUACCAGCUGGCUGCAACUGUUUAUUAAAAACACAGCACUGUGCAAACACGAAAGUGGACGUAUACGGUGUGACGCCUGCCCGGUGCCGGAAGGUUAAUUGAUGGGGUCAGCGCAAGCGAAGCUCCUGAUCGAAGCCCCGGUAAACGGCGGCCGUAACUAUAACGGUCCUAAGGUAGCGAAAUUCCUUGUCGGGUAAGUUCCGACCUGCACGAAUGGCGUAAUGAUGGCCAGGCUGUCUCCACCCGAGACUCAGUGAAAUUGAACUCGCUGUGAAGAUGCAGUGUACCCGCGGCAAGACGGAAAGACCCCGUGAACCUUUACUAUAGCUUGACACUGAACAUUGAGCCUUGAUGUGUAGGAUAGGUGGGAGGCUUUGAAGCGUGGACGCCAGUCUGCGUGGAGCCGGCCUUGAAAUACCACCCUUUAAUGUUUGAUGUUCUAACGUGGACCCGUAAUCCGGGUUGCGGACAGUGUCUGGUGGGUAGUUUGACUGGGGCGGUCUCCUCCUAAAGAGUAACGGAGGAGCACGAAGGUUGGCUAAUCCUGGUCGGACAUCAGGAGGUUAGUGCAAUGGCAUAAGCCAGCUUGACUGCGAGCGUGACGGCGCGAGCAGGUGCGAAAGCAGGUCAUAGUGAUCCGGUGGUUCUGAAUGGAAGGGCCAUCGCUCAACGGAUAAAAGGUACUCCGGGGAUAACAGGCUGAUACCGCCCAAGAGUUCAUAUCGACGGCGGUGUUUGGCACCUCGAUGUCGGCUCAUCACAUCCUGGGGCUGAAGUAGGUCCCAAGGGUAUGGCUGUUCGCCAUUUAAAGUGGUACGCGAGCUGGGUUUAGAACGUCGUGAGACAGUUCGGUCC
rnacentral:rRNA from 2 species